rnacentral:tRNA from 1 species
AACAUUGAAGUAAAUUUUACUGUUAGUUUCGACCUAAUUUAAGAGUUAGUUCUCCUUGUUU